CCUACGGGAGGCAGCAGUGAGGAAUAUUGGUCAAUGGGCGAGAGCCUGAACCAGCCAAGUCGCGUGAGGGAAGACGGUCCUAUGGAUUGUAAACCUCUUUUGUCGGGGAGCAAAAAGGCCUCGUGAGGCCACAAGUGAGAGUACCCGAAGAAAAAGCAUCGGCUAACUCCGUGCCAGCAGCCGCGGUAAUACGGAGGAUGCGAGCGUUAUCCGGAUUUAUUGGGUUUAAAGGGUGCGUAGGCGGACUGGAAAGUAAGCGGUAAAAUCGAGAGGCUCAACCUCUUUCCGCCGUUGAAACUGUCGGUCUUGAGUGGGCGAGAAGUAUGCGGAAUUCGUGGUGUAGCGGUGAAAUGCAUAGAUAUCACGCAGAACUCCGAUUGCGAAGGCGACUAUCUGGCACAUAACUGACGCUGAGAAGCGAAAGCGUGGGUAGCAAACAGGAUUAGAUACCCCUGUAGUC
rnacentral:rRNA from 1 species